AUGACGGCCAGCAAGAAGCCAAGAACAGCAGGUCUGCUUCCCCGCAGCUAUAAAAUAGACCGUUGCAUUGAAGCUUCUGCCGCCGAUGAGAUGAAGCAGGUCGGGGCACCACAUCGCAUUGCAGCUCUGACGCUGGCAAGAACCGCUGGUCACAGGGCAGCACCACCCACGUUGCAUUGCAGCUCCGUCGAUGCUCCAUUGCAGCUGCAUGGCAACACCGACGGUCCCGACGAUGCUCCAUUGAAGCUCCAUGGCAGCACUGACGGUCCCGACGAUGCUCCAUUGAAGCUCCAUGGCAGCACCGACGGUCCCGACGAUGUUCCAUUGAAGCUCCAUGGCAGCACCGAUGGUCCCGACGAUGCUCCAUUGAAGCUCCAUGGCAGCACCGACGGUCCCGGCGAUGCUUCAUUGAAGCUCCAUGGCAGCAACACACGGGGCAAGAAAGCUCCAUCGCAGCAGUGA
rnacentral:rRNA from 1 species